rnacentral:rRNA from 1 species
AACGAACGCUGGCGGCAGGCCUAACACAUGCAAGUCGAGCGCACUCUUCGGAGUGAGCGGCGGACGGGUUAGUAACGCGUGGGAAUAUGCCCUUCACUACGGAAUAGCCUCGGGAAACUGAGAGUAAUACCGUAUACGCCCUUUGGGGAAAGAUUUAUCGGUGAAGGAUUAGCCCGCGUCUGAUUAGAUAGUUGGUGGGGUAACGGCCUACCAAGUCGACGAUCAGUAGCUGGUUUGAGAGGAUGAUCAGCAACACUGGGACUGAGACACGGCCCAGACUCCUACGGGAGGCAGCAGUGGGGAAUCUUAGACAAUGGGCGCAAGCCUGAUCUAGCCAUGCCGCGUGAGUGACGAAGGCCUUAGGGUCGUAAAGCUCUUUCGCCAGGGAUGAUAAUGACAGUACCUGGUAAAGAAACCCCGGCUAAACUCCGUG